rnacentral:rRNA from 1 species
GAGGCGGGCGCUUCCUUGCAUGUCAGUCGGACGCAUGCUCGAUCUUGCUUGAUUGAUUGAUAGUGAGUGACGAACGAGUGAUACAUCCAUCCGAGCCCGGCCUGGAGUGAGAACUAACUAAACGAAUAAUUAACUAAUACCACAACCUACCUGAGGGUGAAAGUGACCGACCGGCCUCCCGCUUGCUAUACGACCGAUCUAUGACUAACUAGCUAGUGGGGGGGGUAAACGCCCACCAAACCAACAAUCACUGGCUGGACAGAAAGAACAAUCACCCUCGGACUGACUCACACCCCACACUCACUCCUGCGGCAGGCAUGAGUAAUUAAUUUUGAUGAAUGAACGAAUGAUCGAUCAAUGGAUGGCGUGUGAGUAAGGACGUCAGUCGCUCUA